rnacentral:rRNA from 1 species
CCUACGGGUGGCAGCAGUGGGGAAUAUUGCACAAUGGGGGAAACCCUGAAGCAGCGACGCCGCGUGAGUGAAGAAGUAUUUCGGUACGUAAAGCUCCAUCAGCAGGGAAGAAAAGUACGGUACCUGACUCAUAAGCUCCGGCUAUCUACGUGCCAGCAGCCGCGGUAAUACGUAGGGGGCAAGCGUUAUCCGGAUUUACUGGGUGUAAAGGGAGCGUAGACGGCAGCGCAAGUCUGAAGUGAAAUCCCAUGGCUUAACCAUGAAACUGCAUUGGAAACUGUGAAGCUGGAGUGCAGGAGAGGUAAGCGGAAUUCCUGGUGUAGCGGUGAAAUGCGUAGAUAUUACGAGGAACACCAGUGGCGAAGGCGGCUUACUGAACUGUAACUGACGUUGAGGCUCGAAAGCGUGGGGAGCAAACAGGAUUAGAUACCCGGGUAGUC